UUCCGGUUGAUCCUGCCAGAGGUCACUGCUAUCGGUGUCCGAUUAAGCCAUGCGAGUCGAGAGGUGUAAGACCUCGGCAGACUGCUCAGUAACACGUGGAUAACCUGCCCAAGGGUCCGGGAUAACCCCGGGAAACUGGGGAUAAUACCGGAUGGGUCACCAGUGCUGGAAUGCUUGGUGGUCGAAAGGUGACGCCUUUGGAUGGGUCUGCGGCGGAUUAGGUUGACGCCGGUGUAACGUACCGGCGUGCCUGUAGUCCGUACGGGUUGUGGGAGCAAGAGCCCGGAGAUGGAUUCUGAGACACGAAUCCAGGCCCUACGGGGCGCAGCAGGCGCGAAAACUCUACAAUGCAGGCAACUGCGAUAGGGGGACAUCGAGUGGCAUCCACCUUGGGUGUCUGUCCAACCGUCUAAAAAACGGUUGUUAGCAAGGGCCGGGCAAGACCGGUGCCAGCCGCCGCGGUAAUACCGGCGGCUCGAGUGGUGGCCGAUAUUAUUGAGUCUAAAGGGU
rnacentral:rRNA from 1 species